rnacentral:misc_RNA from 1 species
AAGACUAUAGACCUGCGGAGUACCUGCGGAGGGAUCAUUAUCGUAUUGUAACAAUUGGGGGGGCCACCGUGGGCUGUCGCUGACCCUUUGAAAGGGGGGUCGUGCACGCCCCCAUAGUGUCAUCCUCAUACAAUCCAACUCACCUCUGUGCAUCACCGCGUGGGUUCCUUUCUGGGUCGAGUCAGACUGACUCAGAAAAAAGGGGCUUGCGUUUUCCAUACAAAUACCCUUAUAAAUCCA